CUACGGGGGGCACCAGUGGGGAAUAUUGCACAAUGGAGGAAACUCUGAUGCAGCAACGCCGCGUGGAGGAUGACACUUUUCGGAGCGUAAACUCCUUUUAUAUAGGAAGAAGAUGACGGUACUAUAUGAAUAAGCGCCGGCUAACUCCGUGCCAGCAGCCGCGGUAAUACGGAGGGCACAAGCGUUACUCGGAAUCACUGGGCGUAAAGAGCGUGUAGGCGGAUUAAAAAGUCAGAAGUGAAAUCCUAUAGCUUAACUAUAGAACUGCUUCUGAAACUCUUAAUCUAGAAUAUGGGAGAGGUAGAUGGAAUUUCUGGUGUAGGGGUAAAAUCCGUAGAGAUCAGAAGGAAUACCGAUUGCGAAGGCGAUCUACUAGAACAUUAUUGACGCUGAGACGCGAAAGCGUGGGGAGCAAACAGGAUUAGAUACCCGUGUAGUC
rnacentral:rRNA from 1 species